rnacentral:lncRNA from 1 species
AGGGUCGUACAAAAUUAAAAACUAGCUGUUAUUAACUCAAGAUCUCUGGAAAGGUACUAAGAUGGAGAAGUUGGCAACAUUAUUUCAUUUCAUACAUGAUAAGAUAAUUAGUGCUUGCUCGCAGUAAACAUCGCACUGCAAGCAUGGCCUCGCCUGAUCGCCCCAAUUUCAGCAGACAAGUUCGGGGAGGCGUAUAGAACUUGCUGCGCAUUAUUUGAUCUACAGCCUAAUUAGUGGAAGGAGGUGUUCUUGAGGUGUGGCGGGGCGUUGUCAAAGGAGUGCUUCCUGGCCAUGGAGACGAUUGUCUUGUCGGCGACGAUGAAAUAGGCCAUCCCGGCGACGGUGGAGAUGAUGAGCGCCUGCCCGGCCGGGUUCAGGUGCGCCUUUGCCCACGGCAGCAUCCUCACGCUCGCCAGCUGAAAUUACAGGUAAGAGGUAACACAUUCGUGCUCCGCAGGGAUAUCUCGAAGAAGGCAAGAACUAAAUGGCUAGCUACUAACCGUGGGGACUGCGGCUGCGACGGUGGCGACGGCCGCGGCCUUGGCUCCCGCCAUGGCAGCCUCUGCAACACCGACAGGUUAAUGACAAUCAAGUUUCAGUGGACAGAUACAUUACAGAAGCUGCAAUUAAUGCACGACGGAAUGGUAUCUAUACGAGCAUUGCUGGUUACCUCUGGAGCAACGCUUGGCUGCAGCGAGCCUCUGGUCCAGGUAGGCGCGGGUCACCGUAGACAUUUUCGUGGGAGUGGCAGCUUGGUGGCACGAGACCGGAAGGAAGUGAACUAGAAGUAGAGCAGCAGCAGUGUGCUUUUUAUGUGACCGUCUGAGAGUGAGAUGAGAUGGAUAGGAGGUGUGCUCCGAUUCGGCCGAGUUUAUGUAGGCUGCAGGAAACCGGCAACCAGCGUGCGCACAAGAAGACGAUAGAUACAGUGGGAAGCGAGACCGUGGUUUUGGCACUUUGGCAGGCGAGCUAGCAAUACCGGCGGCGUGCUGGGUGGUCGGCGCUGCGGCAGAACACAGGUGGCGCUGCCUCGUUGGUCAUUUAAAAACCAUCUCACGUGCGCCGCACUCUUCUGCAACUGGAUAACAGCAGGCAAUGCAUCAAUCCAUCGGGGUUGGCAGGGAAUCAUAGGAUAACAAAUAUAGGAGCAUGUGCAUGAGUGGGGUGUCAAUUAAAGCAUCACUUGUAGUGUUCUUAAAUCUUCAAAUCCUUAAAAUAAAUCAUUUUUUACGGAUUGAAACGAAAAAAAGCAAAGAAUAGAACCCCUAAACCCUUAAAAAAAAAUAAGGAUUGAACCCGGGUUGCCCUCUCAAUCUCUAAAAGUGAGGAUUGAAGAGGGGAACCCAUCCCUAGCCCGCACUCCUACCGGUCGACGCGCGGGAGGGAAAUUUCCCCGCCUCCCGCCUCCCGCCACCCGCCUCCUCGCUGCCGUCGGCCGCNNNNNNNNNNNNNNNNNNNNNNNNNNNNNNNNNNNNNNNNNNNNNNNNNNNNNNNNNNNNNNNNNNNNNNNNNNNNNNNNNNNNNNNNNNNNNNNNNNNNCCCCAGCCCGCCCCAGCCGCCGCCUCCGUCGUCCCGCCCGCCACGUCCCUCACCCCGCCCGCCUCCUCCCUCGCCCCGCCGAAGCCGCCCGCCACCAAGGGUCGGAAGAAGAAGCCCUCCCUUGGGCCGAAGGGGGCGGCGGGGCCGAAGGUGAAGAAGACCAUCUCCCGGAAGAAGCCGGCUCCUGUGCCCGCCCCGGCCGUCGCCCCUCCGCCCGUCGUGCACGAGGUGAAUGCCCGCCCCGCUGACAUCAUUCAUGGGGCUUCUCGAAGACGCGGAGGUGGACAUCGGGGCUCCUCCUCUCGAACCCUUUGGGUUUAGUGAUGACUUGGAGGAAGAGGGUGAUGAGGAGGAGGAAGGGGAAGAUGAGGAGGAGGUGACCGAGAUAGAGGAGGAGGCGUUCUCCACCGUUGGAAAACACACCGUGCGCUCGACAAACUAUAGCGAGGACGAAGAUAUUCUCUUGGUUCGUGCUUGGGCACAUGUGGGAAUGGAUGCAAGCACCGGUGCCGAUCAAACCGAUAAACUCUAUUGGCAAUGCAUAGAGGACCUCUAUUGCAAGAUUAAGCCGAAGACCGGUGGGUACGACGCUCGUAGUUACCUGUCGCUACAAGGCCGGUGGGAGUUGAUGAAGCCCCAUUGUGCUCGUUGGAGUGCGGCAAUGGACCAAGUGAAGGAUGCACCGCCUAGUGGGACCGUGGAGAGUGACUAUGUAAGUACAUAUGUGUUUUUCACAUUUAUUUUGAUUUUCUAUGCUAUUGUUAUGUAUGUUUACUAUGCUAUUGGUGGGUUUGUAGGAGGCAAUUGCCGACUUGAGGUACAAGGAGAUGGCCGCUUCCAAGGGCAAAGCAUUUCCAUUUAAGCAUGUUUGGAAAAUUCUUUAAACUUAUGACAAGUGGAAGUUGAGGGAUCAAGAGACCGCACCCAAGAAGUCGACAAUGCUUAGGAUGGAUGAUAGUGAUGAGGAGGAAAGGAACGAGUGCAAGCCCGAGGGAACCAAGAAGGAUAAGCUAAGCAAGAAGAUGGAAGGAGAGGCGUCAAGCAUAAGGGAGAAGAUGGAACAUAUGAUGAAGUCAAGGAAGGCAUUGAUAAUGAAGACAUUGGAGACAAAGCUCCUUAUCAACGAGAAUAAGAAAGAGGUGAAGCUUGCACAAGUUGAAGCAAGGCGUGAAGAAGCCAAGCGCAAGGCCGACCUGGAGGAGAGGAUGAUCAAGGUCAAAGAAGCAAAGGCAUGGAAAGAACUCAUGGUGGAAGAGAAGGAGCACAUAAUGAUGUCCAAUAAGGACAUUGAUGAAGACCAAUUGAUGUGGUGGAAGGAGUACAAGGAGGACAUCGCGGAGAGGAAGAGGAUAUUCUGUGGUGCGUCCUCUACUCUUCGAGGUGAUACUCCGAUGAGUGGUGGUGGCGAUGGCAGUGUGGAGGACUCCACCACCGGCGAAAAUGGAGGUGCUUGAUGGACGUGGAAGUGGUCUAGGAGAUGGCGCUGAGGUGCAACUUUUUGGUGAUGGUGCCGAUGAGAGGGGGAAGAUGAUGAUUUUAUGAUGUAAACUAUUAAACCAUGCAUCAAUGAUUUUCAUUUCCUAGUUUGUUUCAAGGUUGAUUGUGUUUUUCUAGUGAUAAUUGUGAUAUGUCAAAUGACAGAUUUAAGGGUUGGGGUUGCGGCAAAGACUAAACCCUCAAAUUCAACCCUUAUAACGGAGUAUUCUGUUAUAAGGGUUGGGUUUGAGGGUUCUAGUCUUUGCCCCUGUUUUUCAAUCCUUAAAAGUGCCAAAAAAUGCCAAUUCUCAACCCUUCAACUGGUAUGAGGGUUUGAGGGUACUACUAGAGAUGCUCUUAGCGUGCACACCAUCUCACUUCAGAUUUGUCUGUGUGUGUGGGAGUUUUCGUCCUACCCAACCCGGUUAGACGCGUCGGAAAUCAGCCCAAUUUGACUAGUGGUUGAGUGCUAAAUUUUUGUUUGUUGAGAGAGAGAAUAUCACAUGAAACCUAAGUUUUGAUAAAAAUCACCCAGAAUAGAUAUUAUUUUGAUGUUCCGAAAUCUCCAUUAGAUGUUGAUUUUGUUUCUUCAGCUCGUCCUUAGGGCGUCUCCAAAGCUGACCCGCCAAUAGUUUCGAUAUAUAUCCGUUUUUAUGUCCGGACGUAGUCCGUGGACGGUUGUCGAGGACAGGUAGACUUCGUUGACUAUAGCAUUUACUGUAGCUACAAUUGUACAGUAUACGAAGGAGAUGUGCCUAAGCCCUAGGCCGUCGCUCCUUCUAUCUGGGGCGUGAAUCCGUCCAUGUCGGUGGAUAUAAUCAGGAGUCGGCCAUUCAAUUGUAGGUGCAAACAUCCGCCUCUAUUAAUGAUUUUCAAGAAAUCAACUCAGCCAAAUUAACCUUCCACAAAUAGAAAAUCUACCUUCCGUUGAAUAGAAAUCAACCUUCACUUAUUUGAAUCAAUCUUCCACCAUUUGACGUAUACUUAUAAAGAAAUAUUUACUCUCGUAAUUUUAGGUGCGACAAUGAGAAUUGUCUAAAAAAAUAGAUGGAAUUGGACCUAGAAAAACCAUUCAGCUUCAUUAUGGAUUAGGUAUGACUGGGUGAAAAUCCUUUUGAAGGAAGCUAUUCAAGAACGGAUGGAACGGCUUUCCCUUCAAUAACAAAUAAAUUUUACAUAUGGGAAUUGGUUGAAGUCGAGGGAUUAGCUUAUAUAGAUAGACGCGGCGGGGGCACGGUGUUUAUCCGGUCUCGUGUUAGAUCCUAUGAUUUGGUUAGUUAGCCUAUGAGAACAAGUCACAAGUUAUUUCCUCUUUCAAUCAAAUGAGGUACUUCCUCGGUUUAGAAGGCACGUUUGGAAAAUCUCUCGGAUCAAGGUAGUCAACGAUUGGUUGUGAGAUGUAGUAGGUGUAUAUGCUAAUGCGCCUAAUCAACUGGAAAAAAUAAGAGUACUAAUGCUUGAGCAGCAAAUUAGGAGGGCGCAUGCAUGAGUAGUGCUAGUACUAAUUAAUAAGAGUAAUUGCUUUCCCGCCUUAAACCUUGUCUAUUUUGAAAACGCACGCAAGUUUAACCGUGCCUUCUAAACCGUGACGGAGAGAGUAAUUAACGUGAAGUAACAGGGUAAUAAAUCUACAUUUUUAAUACAAACUAUUAAUAAACUAGUAGGAAGAAAUAUGUGUUUUUAAUGUGGAGUAAUCAAUAGACGGUCCUAAGCUGCUCUCGCCCCAACCCGGACAUGGGUACACGGCGGCUUUUGAUUGGCCAAGCGCCGGACUCCUGUAAGGCCUCACCUUAUCGACGAUUGGUCUAUCUCUGUCUACCUCAAGUGUUGCUUUGUUGCUUAUCCUUUGUGUGCUUGCUACUUAUCUUCAGCAUUUGUGUAUCUAGCCUUAGGUUGUCUGAGGUGGUGUUUGUAAUCGUAUGAUUGUAUGUGAUCGUUGUUUUAUAUAUAAAACGGAACGCGAGCCUAUUUCGUCGUAAGCUGCAAUGCACAACAGAAUGGUAUAUACGAGCACUGUUGGGCUGAGGCAGGGACCGGCUCCCUCGUUGGUUACCUAUGCGGCACCGCUUGGCGGCGGCAAGGUAGGCACGGGUCAUCGUAGACAUGUCGAGAGCAGAGUUUGGUAAAGGAUCAGUAGGUUUACUAGCGUGAGUGAGACCAAGAUGAGAUGGGCAGAGCAAGAGGUGAUUCUUUUCAGCGAGAGGAGGCAUCGAUCCAUUUUGUAGGAGCAUGUGCGUGAGUGCAGUGUCAGUCAGUGUGCACUCCGUUUUGUUGGCCAUGUGAUGUGCCUGUCCUGGCGCUCCCAGUUUUCGCCCUAGCUAGCUCGGCAAUCCCGUCAGCGGUUCGGUGCAAAACCUUUGCUUGUUUAGCUGGCGUUAUUCCCGGGAGUGCAUGAUAGUUACCGGAGUAGUUGAUUUCCAUUUUCUUAUGAUGACGCUAAAAACACUUGCCAUCUUUGUUAAUUUAGAAGAAAAAAAUUAUCCUGUUAAUUUAGAAAAACCAGAUGAAAACUGUAGCAACACGCCCAACCAGACUAUCAUAGUCAAACAUAUGACAAUAGAUAUGUCAGAGGCCGAUCUUGCUACCAACGUAGACUCCAUACUUAACGGAGAAGACAACUUCCGCAAUGGCUGCAUAGAAACGUCACUCAUCGCCCUCAAUCUAUUUUUUAUUUUUUUGGAAAAGGAGGUUUAACCCCGGUCUCUGUAUCAAUCGAUGCAUACGACCAUCUUUAUUAAUUAUUUAAUAUAGGUCUAAUAAAAACAUACGUCAAACCAUCCGAAAUCAUCACUCACACCUACAAAACUCGAUAAUGUGUAGUGCUCUCACUCCCCAUAUCUAAAACCGGUGCCCUCAUCGAUCCAUCCACAUAACGUAUCGGAACUCACAGCCGGUGCAACACACCUAAAGCGUACACCACAUGUACACGUUUUAGACGCCGUCAUCAUCAUCAGGCGCUGACCCAUCUUUUGUAAAAAGAUGUGUAUCAUCCUUGCCAGUCCGUCCAUCCGUAGACGCCACCACGGCUCGUCAGUCCAGACGCGAAGAUUCUGGAAGAUCUGUCGUGCGUAGCACCUGCCGACCAGGCAUGACACAACGUAGCACGUGUCGGCCAGGCAUGACUUGACAUCUCCACCGAAAGCUUUGUGCAAGAUGAUCGGCGCCACCAUGGCGCCAAACAGCGCCACCGCCCUGCGCUCAUUCGUCGAAACACAAAGAUUCUGGAAGAACUGUCGUUCGUAGCACCUACCAACCAGUCAUGACUCAGCGUAGCACCUGUCGGCCAGGCAUGACAUGACAGUUCCACCAAAUCUUCGGGCCACACAAAGCUGCUCCAUCUCCUGCCUCUGUCAUCCAGCGCUGCUCCACAAACAAUGCUCCCAAGAGAGAAACGGCACCGCAGUACCGCCAUCGUACGAUCUGAAAAGUCAGAUCUUAGGGUUUCCUCCGAAGCAGUGCCCACCACCAGCAACCGCCCAGGACCCACAUAGUGCCCGCCACAACUCAGCCCUCAAGGCGACGCCUUCAGGAAGGUCACGACGUCAAGGACGCCGCCGCCUUCCACCGGAGUUAGGGUUUUCACCCGAGAGGCAGUGAGGUAGGAAGUGGAGGAGCAGACCUAGACCGACGUCUCCAGGAAGAACAACGGCGCUCUUGAGCGUCGUCGGCGGCGCGGCCGGCCAGGGCCGACCAAUGGGUUCCCCCGUACCUGAAUCUUCUCCACCAGCUUCAUCCGCGGCCACGCCGGCAACGCCAGAAAACCGCAGGAGAGAAGCACACCGCGGGUAUUUGGAUCAAUGAAGAUUCAAUCUAAACAGUGACGAGUACCACCACCCUGCGCUGGCCGACGGCGUCCGGGCGCCGGAUCCAGAAGGAUCUGACCCCUCGCCCUCGAUCUAAUGACUCCGACUCCAACAAAAAUGGCCAUAAACAAACUAACCGGUACAAGUUGAUGCAUGGAACCAAAAUUCACUAUGCUUAGAAGACAUCAUCAGCCAUGGAUGCACACAGGCGUCAUCAGAGGCGACUAAAUAAAAUGAUGCUGCUUGUAGUACCCACACCAGACCGAAUAAAAAUGAAACCGUUUGUAGAGAGACAUUUUACUAGCAUCCACACACUCUGCGAAGAUAGCUGCCUCCGAAUCCCACCAUGUGAUAGUCUAGUUCCGCUUUGAGGCGAUUGACACCAAGAGAAUUAGCGAUAACUGGCGACCGGUGGUUUCUCCAGGCGGCUCAACUCUAAUCUUGUUCAGUAGUAGUGGGUGUUUUGUGUUAGGGCUGGUGUCUCCUGGUUUCAUGCUCAAUGUUGACUUAGAGACAAUUUUUUUGGCCUUUUUAGACUUCUAAAAUAAGCUGCCUUCUAUCCAUUUUAUUCUAAAAGCCUAAUUCAAUUUCUUUUUAAAAACAUAUUAGACAAUUUAAUUAUUAGCUUUCUAAGAAAAUUAAUUUGGUUGGACUUCUGAAAUAAGCAAGAAUAGGAGGCAACCUAUUCCAUCUUAUUCUAGAAGCCGGCAAAAAAUAAACUGGCCUUCAGUUAUUCUUGUGCCAACAAACCAGUACCGUUUUAUUUUACUUUUAGUUUGUUUGCAUGAGGGUUGUCUCAUCAUAUUAUAUCGGUUCGACCGAUUGUGGCUUUAUUCGAAAAGGGGGCGAAAGACUCUUUUGAAAAAGGUUUAAUCGUGUGAGGUGAGGUGUCAUGAUCCUCACGUGCAUUUCGGAACAGAACAGGGGAGGAGCAGGGGAUCAAAAGAUUUAACUAGUACCACGGUGUUAUCUCGGCAUUUUGCAAUGCUCUGACGCAUGUCAACUGGUAAUCAUCAUAAGGAAAACACGAGCCAUGGCACAUGAACCAGGGUCGUACAAAAUUAAAACUAGUUGUUAUUAACUCAAGAUAUAUGGAAUGAUACUAAGAUGGAGAAGGUGGCAACAUUAUUUCAUUUCAUCCAUAAUCACACAAGUGCUUGCUUGAUGGCCCCUCUACUACUACUAGCUCAAGGUCUGAAGAAUGAUCGCGGACGGGGACGAGCCGGAGCCGCGGCGGCGCCACCGAAGGAGGUGUCUUUGAGGUGGUCAGGGGCGCUCUCGUAGGAGUGCCUCCUCGCCAGCGAGAGGAUGGUCUUGUCGGCGGCGACGAAGUAUGCCAUCCCGGCGACGGUGCAGACGAUGAGCGCCUGGCCGGUGGGGUUGAGGUUCGCCUUGGCCCACGGCAGCAUCCUCACGCUCGCCAGCUGCGUGAUUAAUAGUAGUUCAGUUAUGGAAACCACAGUCCAACGUGCAUGGAAAUCAACAACAAUUCCUGGACGGAGGAGCUCACCGUGGGGACUGCCGACGCGACCGUGGCGACGGCCGCAGCCUUUGCUCCGGCGAACGUUGCCUCUAGGAAAGAUUAAAAGAAAAAAAAGAAUGAACCGCUAGUAUCAGACUAUCAGCACACAACUGAGCUCUGAAGAAGUGCAUCCUGGUCAGUGGUUACUACCUCUGGAGCAGCGUUUGGCGAGGGCGAGCUUGUGGUCGAGGGACGCGCGGGUGACGGUGGCCGCCGACGACGACAUCUUCACCGUGAUAUUGUACAGAAACGGCUGAGUGCGAUCGAGUGAGAUGGUGUGGGCUGGCUGGUUCGUUGUUGCUCGAUGCAUCCAGACGAGGAGCUAGCCGUGUAUUUAUAGCGAGCAAAAAGGUUGCCGCCAUGCACGGUUUUGGGUGCAAACCGUGGGUACUCUGCUAUGAUCCGCUCAUUUGGACUUUAGAGUACACAACUGAGUUGGUGGGCGGAGCACCGCACGCUAUCUAAAAACUAUGGCAGCAAUCCACAGGAUUUGAUGAUGCUUGUUUGUUAGAGGUAUAUAUCCUCCAUGGCUCAAUCGCCUUUCUUUCUUUACCCACCAAAGCUGGUGAAAAAAGAGAGAUCUAAAGUUAGGCACAACAGUGCUGAUCUGAGCACAAUACUACGUAGAUAAUUGCUACCGGACGCAUUUGUUCUUUGUAAGAUAAGAUAACAAAUAUGAAACGGAGCAGGUGCCUCCGGGUCCACUCGUCAUCGUCGGUCCGUCGGUCGGCGAGCGGCGCUCCCAGUUUUCCGGCGAAACCGGCGGCAUGUGCUCCCCGGCCGGACUAGCUCUUCAUGCGUGAGCUGCUUUGGCAUUUCUCCACAUUUUUCUCCAGUCUGCGGCCCACCCAUAUUGCAUACAACAUUUAUUCUUCAGGUUCGUUGCACAAGAUACAGUCUGUUGGUGUAACCUGUUGUUGCUGCAAUCUCCAAUUCAUUGUUUUUUUUAAUAAUCUAAUUCAUUGUUUCAUUGUACGUUGACAUGAUUCCCAAUGAUUUGAUCCCGCUUGUAAGUGCAUACAAUGACAUCAACCAGCCAAUAAGAACUACCUCGUAGGUUUAGUUGCUCAUUAUUAUACAAUUACGACAUGGCAGUUUUAGUCAUUCAUUACCAUUUUUUGUUUAAAACUUGACAUUUAAAAAUGGCCUUUUAAAUUUGUGUCCCUAACUUGAAUCCAUAAUUCAGAUUUGCCCUAAUUUCAAAGCAUAUGCUCAAAUUUACACCUCUGCCGUUAUGUGUCCUUACAAAAAUAUCCUUCUGUACCAUAUUUUUAAUUGACAAAUUAUAGAGACUAUUUUGUCAUAUGGUAUUAUUAAAGAAGUUUUUUUUCUGUGGGUCAACGCACCAUAGUUUUGAACCUUACGUAGUGACGGAGCCAGUAUUUGGAUGUGGCCGUGGAUAGGGGGGCCAAAUACUUACAUACUAUGACAUAUCAAUCAAAUAUACACUAGGUACUUCAGAUUUUAUCGACCGUUAGGGGGAGCCAGGCCCCUGCUCGCCCCCUUGUCUCCGCCCCUGACCUUACGCGUAGAUAUGGAUAUACUUUUAUCUAACGAACGAUUAAGAAAGUGUUAAAGUAUUCCGGCCUCUGGUGACAAACACUUCGAACCUACACAUGACGGCUUUAUGAGUCUCUAGUGAUAAACACCUCAAACCUACACAUGACGACUUUAAUUAUGAGCCUUUGCUGACAAGCACCUCAAACAUGCACAUACGGCUUUACGAAUACAAAAAACUCAUGUUUUUUUAAUUAUUACAUGUUUUCCGACGAUAUACGAUCAAUGGGAGUAGGCAUUCUGGUCGACUAUGAUGACGCAUGUAGCAACUUCGACAAUUUUAAGAUAAUGUACCGGCUCAACCUAUCAAAGAUGCUCGCAAAGAUAGUAUGUGAGUGUGUACAUGUAAGUAUACGUGUGUAUAUACAAGUGUCUGCGCCUAUACUAUGUAUUGUGUUAAAUAACAAUACAUAAAGAUUGUUACGGUUUUCAAAAUAAAAGAAAAACACACGCUUCAAAACGUCAUUGUCUGUACUGUCUAUUAUGUUAAAUAACAAUACAUAAAGCUUGUUACGGUAUUCAAAAUAAAAAAGAACACUUGUUUCAAAACGGCCAAAUUUUUCAUUUUUAAACCCAUCCCUAUUUGUCAACCCAUCCAAUAAGCCGUAUCAAAAGAUUUAACGAGCGAGGUUAGAUGGCUUUGUCCUCACAUGCAUUCCGAAACAGAAUAGGGGCGGAAAAGGGAUCAAAAAAUGUACUUGUGGUGUGGUGUCAUUUCGGCGUUUUGCAAUGCUCCGAAGUACUUAGUACGCAUGCUAAAUGGUAAUCUUCGCAAACAAGAAAAAUAUUAGAUGAGUGAGGGCACUUGAACCAGAGAUGUACGAAAUUAAAACUACUCCCUUCGUUCCUAAAUAUAAGUCUUUCUAGAGGUUUCACUAACGGACAACAUACGGAUGCAUAUAGACAUACUUUAAAGUGUAGAAUCACUCAUUUUAAUUUGUAUGUAAAUCUCUAAUGAAAUUUCUUAGAAGACUUAUAUUUAGAAACAGAGGGAGUUGUUGUUAUUAACUAAAGAUCUCUGGAAAGAUACUAAGAUGGAGAAGUUGGCAACAUUAUUUCAUUUCAUACAUGAUCAGAUAACUAGUGCUUUGCUCGCAGUAAACAUCGCACUGGGCCAGAUCGCCCCAACAUUAUACUACUACUACGGGGCGGCGUACAGAGGUUGCUGCGCACUAGUUGAUCUACAACAUAAUUAGUGGUAGGAGGUCUUCUUGAGGUGCUCCGGCGCGUCCUGGAAGGAAUGCUUCCUGGCCAUGGAGAGGAUGGUCUUGUCGGCGACGAUGAAGUAGGCCAUCCCGGCGACGGUGGAGAUGAUGAGCGCCUGACCGGCGGGGUUCAGGUGCGCCUUGGCCCACGGAAGCAUCCUCACACUCGCCAGCUGCAGAAAAAGGCACGCAAGAAGAAGACGGUGAGAUGAUUAUUCGUUCGACGUCAAAAACUCAGUGGUGCAGGCUGAUAAACGUGUGCUUACGGUGGGCACUGCGGCGGCGACGGUGGC